CGGCGGCGGGCGGCGGGGGAUUGGUCAGCAGCUCGGAGGGGGUGGGCCCGCGCCGCGCGCAGCGCCUCGGCUGGAGCGCCAGGAGCAGCUCCCGCCGCCUCAGUCGCCUCAGACUCGGUCGCCUCAGGCUCUGUCGCCGCCUCGAUCGCCCCGUCGUCACCCGCUCCCCCCCCAUCCCGGCCCCACCCCGGGCUCCGGCCCGGGCCAGCCGGCGGGCACGCCCUCCUCCGCGGACAGUUGAGUACCUUCAGGUAUCUUCAAGCCCUCCUUGGAGCAGGGCUGAUGCUGCGUCUUAGCACAGCUCUCACAGCAUGGCCUGGAAGUCGCAUCAUCUGGAACCCUGGACUCAACAGACCCCAAAUGCCUUCAGGACCUUUUUUCAGUCAGUGCUUAUGUGUAUGCCCAGAAGCCACAACUGGAUAUUCAUAGUUUUGAAGGCACAUUUACCAGGGUAAGGUCUCAGAGUGUUUUGAGUGGGCCAUGCCAUAAAUCUAGACAAAUGAUCUCUAGGGAAAGUCAGCCAAAUAUGUUGACCUAUUGGAAUGUCCGAGGCCUUACCCUCCAAUGGUACCUGUUUUCGACGAGUAAAUAACUUGGAAUGACGUCAAAUGUCAUGGGCUCCCAAGGAAUGCACAAACAGGGGCCAAAGCUUCUGAGCUCCCCAGCUGAGCAUGGACAUUGGCAUACAGUGGCUUGAGCAGGAUCGUAUGCAA
rnacentral:lncRNA from 1 species